rnacentral:rRNA from 1 species
ACGGGUGAGUAAUGCCUAGGAAUCUGCCUGGUAGUGGGGGACAACGUUUCGAAAGGAACGCUAAUACCGCAUACGUCCUACGGGAGAAAGCAGGGGACCUUCGGGCCUUGCGCUAUCAGAUGAGCCUAGGUCGGAUUAGCUAGUUGGUGGGGUAAUGGCUCACCAAGGCGACGAUCCGUAACUGGUCUGAGAGGAUGAUCAGUCACACUGGAACUGAGACACGGUCCAGACUCCUACGGGAGGCAGCAGUGGGGAAUAUUGGACAAUGGGCGAAAGCCUGAUCCAGCCAUGCCGCGUGUGUGAAGAAGGUCUUCGGAUUGUAAAGCACUUUAAGUUGGGAGGAAGGGCAGUAAGCGAAUACCUUGCUGUUUUGACGUUACCGACAGAAUAAGCACCGGCUAACUCUGUGCCAGCAGCCGCGGUAAUACAGAGGGUGCAAGCGUUAAUCGGAAUUACUGGGCGUAAAGCGCGCGUAGGUGGUUUGUUAAGUUGAAUGUGAAAGCCCCGGGCUCAACCUGGGAACUGCAUCCAAAACUGGCAAGCUAGAGUACGGUAGAGGGUGGUGGAAUUUCCUGUGUAGCGGU